rnacentral:rRNA from 1 species
CCCGCUGAACUUAAGCAUAUCAAUAAGCGGAGGAAAAGAAACUAACAAGGAUUCCCCUAGUAACUGCGAGUGAAGCGGGAAAAGCUCAAAUUUAAAAUCUGGUGGUCUCUGGCCAUCCGAGUUGUAAUUUAGAGAAGCGUCUUCCGCGCUGGACCGUGCACAAGUCUCCUGGAAUGGAGCGUCAUAGAGGGUGAGAAUCCCGUCUUUGGCACGGAUGUCCCGGGGCUUUUGUGAUGCGCUCUCGAAGAGUCGAGUUGUUUGGGAAUGCAGCUCAAAAUGGGUGGUGAACUCCAUCUAAAGCUAAAUAUUGGCGAGAGACCGAUAGCGAACAAGUACCGUGAGGGAAAGAUGAAAAGCACUUUGGAAAGAGAGUGAAACAGUACGUGAAAUUGUUGAAAGGGAAACGCUUGAAGUCAGUCGCGUCGACCGAGACUCAGCCUUGCUUCGGCUUGGUGUACUUCUCGGCUUGACGGGUCAGCGUCAAUUUUGUCCCUCGGAUAAUGGCGAGAGAAAGGUGGCACCUUUGCGGGUGUGUUAUAGUCUCUUGUCGCAUGCGAGGGCCAGGAUUGAGGAACUCAGCACGCGCCUCUCGGCGUCGGGGCUUCGGCUCACGCUACGUGCUUAGGAUGCUGGCGUAAUGGCUUUAAACGACCCGUCUUGAAACACGG